rnacentral:rRNA from 1 species
AGCGAACGCUGGCGGCAGGCUUAACACAUGCAAGUCGAGCGGGCACUUCGGUGUCAGCGGCGGACGGGUGAGUAACACGUGGGAACGUACCCUUUGGUUCGGAAUAACGCUGGGAAACUAGCGCUAAUACCGGAUACGCUCUUUUGGGGAAAGGCUUGCUGCCGCAGGAUCGGCCCGCGUCUGAUUAGCUAGUUGGUGGGGUAAUGGCCUACCAAGGCGACGAUCAGUAGCUGGUCUGAGAGGAUGCUCAGCCACACUGGGACUGAGACACGGCCCAGAAUCCUACGGGAGGCGGCAGUGGAGAAUAUUGGACAAGGGGCGCGAGACUGAACCAGCCAUGCCGGGUGAGGGAUGAUGUCCUGAGGGUUGUAAAGCUAUUUUGUCCGGGACGAGAAUGACGGUACCGGAAGAAUAAGCCCCGGCUAACUUCGUG